ensembl:misc_RNA 7SK 7SK RNA
GGAUGUAACAGUGAUCUGGCUGCAACAUCUGUCAUCCCAUUGAUCACCAGGGUUGAUUUGGCUGAUUUGGCUGGCUAGGCGGGUGUCCCCUUCCUCAUGGCUCCGUGCGUGUCCCUCCUGAACCUGCACACUGCAUCAAAGAGGAUGACCUUCUCUGAUAGAGGAGGGCCAUUCAUUGGUCAAGGGUAAUAAGUAGCUGUGCUCCCCUGCUAGAACCUCCAAACAAGCUCUCAAGGACCAUUUAUAGAAGAAUCCAGAGUAGUCAAGCCUCUAAGACUCCAGACACAUCCAAAUGAGGCGCUGCAUGUGGCAGUUUUCCUUUAUUA